CAUUUACAUUGCCACGACGAAAGAUUCGUAAUGUGAUUACGUUGCCGUUACGUAAUGGUCAUGUAAUUUGGCUAGCUGUGUAUCUGCGUCACUUCAGUUUCACUGCUCUAAUACAGAGCCAGCCUGUUUCAGUGGUCGGUAACAACAGUCGCAAAGCAUCCGGGUAGUUGCACCAGCUGUGCAUAAGUUCUCACGUAAGUUAUGUCGUAAAGUUCACACAAAGGGCUUCGUAACCACUAGUUAGUUUGUAACUAAGUCAGUGCUUAAUUCGGUUGCACCACCUGUUCUUAAGGCAAGACUUAACUAGUAGGUCGCAAGCUCUCCGUAAAGUAAUGCGUACUCGCAUAAUAUGACAUUUACUUGUAUUGAAGCAGCCUUCAAAUUUGUACACAGAAGUGUUAAAAAGCUGUGAAUUUCUAUUUGAUCUUGUUACGGUUGAUGUUCAAACCUCUGCUGUCAGCUGUAAUAAAUUAUAUCUCCAUUAAAAUAUGAUACGUAAUGAAAGUAGAAUUGAUGAAUCGUAUAUUUAUAUAUAGGAAUUGUAUAAGGUGUGAAAAAUAAAUACAGGCUGGAAAAAACAGACAUUUAUUCAUUGUAAUAUCCUAUAUAUAUUUUGAAUGUCUUGAAACUUGUCACCAUGCAAAGCAUCCUGAAAACUGCACCAUUAGAAUGGUUUCAUGCUGAAGACCUGCUUAAAAAAUUGUUUCUCUCUCUCUCUUUCGUAAAUGUCAACAUCAUACUGUAUGUCGAAAGGAUUGAUGCCUGUCAGGCAAAACAUGAGCUCAUUGAUCUCAUAAAAUAUCAGUCUGCUUCUUUUAUUCCAUCCGUUACUCCUGGUCGGAGUCUUCCGUAAAUAUUUACAACAGGCAACAGGCCUCUGUGCUGUGUCUCUGGAAACGAGCGCGCAGAUUUUUCUGUAGAUGAGGUGGCAGCCACAGUCGGUAUCCUACCUCAAAAUCUUCAUCAAAAUGUUUUUAGUCGUCAAAUAUAUGGAAAAAAAGAUUGUCAACAUUAUAUUUGAGUCAUGGUUUGAGGAUGGUGUCACUUGGUGGCCAAACUAUAGAAGUGAUGAAUGCAGGGGAGCCAGGAGCAGACUGGAAAAAGUAUGAGGUUCGAGUCCUCUCAAGACCUGGCAAAUCUUUGAAGAUACAGACAAUGAGCCAGAGAGGGGUUUAAAGAGGAGCUACCUCAAUCUCUCCCAUGUCAUCUAAUGAAAUUUGCCAGACUUCUGCUAGACCCGAGCAGCACCAUCUGUCCCCUUUAAUACAUCUGGCAUGCCUUCCAGUCCUCUAUGCCACUUCUCUGUUGGGCAUGUUCCAGAUCUGUUGCAUUCUGAAGAUGGUUAUUACAAAGCCUCUGUGCCUCCAGCCUCUGUAUCUCUCACAUGCCAUCAAGCUCUAUGGGCCAGAUCUCUGCCAUGACUCUGUUAGAUGAGCAUUCCUGUAAGCCCACAUUUAGACUGGGGAAGAUGGGCACUGGACCUAUUCCUUGCUCUGCUGCUCAGCUGCACAUCUUAACAUUAUUGGAACAUGUGAAGGAACAGCAAAUGCAGCUUGCUGCUGCUGUCAAUAAUCUUGCUGCAUGACAGAGGACCGAAACUCCUGUAGCUGAAAUGCUUCACAAUAUCAGUGUCCCACUGGCCACUAUGCCUGAAGUUGAGGAAUUGGUGGAAUGGCUUAAAGAUUCAAGAAACGCAUGGGCUAAACAAAACAUGAUGGCUCUGGUUGCCGUUGGAGGACAAAACACCAAAAGAGUCACGUGGAACAUACUUUCAAGUCUUUUCUCAGAUGGAGUAGCCUAACAAAUAAACUGGAAAGGAGUCAAUGGGAAGAGGUGCUUUAAGGAAAUGCUUUCAAGAAGUUUGUUGAUCAGCAAGUAUGGUAUAAUAUGAAGAAGUUGAGUAUUAGACACCUUUCUUAAACCAUCUCCACAACCUAAAUCAUAUAUAUGGCCAAGAUAUAAUUUUUUUUUUUAAUUCAUUUCUUACUUUUGUUUGUUAUAACUGUGUUUGAAUUCCAUCAAAACUGUGUCUUUUUAAAACAUAGCUUCAUUACAAGGGCUCAAAAGUAAUUGGACACUUGUCUACAAAUUGUAGACAUGUAUAAACAUUAGUUUCUGCCUUAGGCUGUGUCCACAUAGCAUUUCUUUUCUAAGCAUCAGCAUCUUUUGUUCAGUUGUUCCUAAUGAGGAGAGUGCGUAUGCGGCCACAAUUUAAAUCAUAGCAUAUAUAAAUCGCCAAGGCGGCGUACG